GUUUUAGAGAUAAGCUGAACAAAGUUGUAGAAAACUGGACUAGAGAGGAGAAGAACUAUUGUCUGGAAGAGACGGAGAAGUCAUUCAAGUUCUCCGGGGCCAUCCUCCGAUUGAUAUUCUCUUGAUGCACAACUUUUUACGCUUUGUUUCCUUGUUAACUUGUACAUUGGAUGGUCGAAACCUGCAAAUUUCUGUGAAUAGUCGUGUUUCUUUUCGUGUUUAAUUCUGUGUAUGGUGUAUAAGAACUUGAUUAUAAUUCAAGUGUUACAUCAUUACUC